CGUCAUGUUUCGCGACGCUUUCCUGACCUAGACGCACAUGGUGAGUUGGCGCCGGAUGCUGCUGGCUGCGCGUGUCCGAGGCAGACUGCGGAGAAAGCGGCUGCUACUUGCUGCUCUCGUGGUCCUUCGCUGCAACAGGCUCCCACUUCUACGAUGUCCUCCUUCAGCAACCAGGAGCUGGUGUGUUGGGAACCUGUUCCUCUUCCUUUAUCCUCGCAGCAGCCUGCAAGGGUGGAAAGGUAGCCUGCGUGGAGGGCAAGCGGGGGGCUAACUGGCCGGCCAGCCCAAGAUGGUAUGCUGAUAGUUGAGGCAGCCUGGUUUUCAAGCCGCCCAAGGAUGAGAACAGCCUGCCAGAGAACAAGCCGCCCGAGCCGGCCGUCUGGUGACCAAAAGUGAGCGCCCUUUUCCCAGCAACUGGAGGAGACGGUGGAGAUCUUCAAGAAGUUAAAUGAUCACCUGGAAUCCCUGGAAAAUACCUAUGCCCUGAUGUGAUUGCCCCAAGUAUCAUGCGCACGUCUUGGGUAUUGGUAGAUGAUGUGCUGAAGCAAAUGGACAUCUGUUUCCUGAUUAUGCUAUGUGAAAGAAAAAGGAUGUGCAUGUUCUCGUGACUUCCCUCCUGUGCUGCCAUUUGCAAGUAGGAAAGCUAAAAAAAACUGAUGUAGCCACAGUGGGGCAACCCAUUGAGAAACUGAAGUGUGCAUAUAGAAGAUCUAUGCCAGGUGAUCUGCAAGAGUGGAAGGAGUAAGAUCCAUCUGAAGACAGUGGAGCUUGCUUUGAACUGUAAUGCUGCACAGGAUUGUGGUCGAGUAGGUGAGUUCUGGCUCAGAAGACUAAACUCUUUUAAUAUGAAGGUUCCGGUAUCUUAAAGCUUCAUGCAAGCAGGACUCCUUCUACUACACAAAUGAGUAAGCUGUGGAUGGUCCCUUUAUGAAUGCUUUGUGCAGAUCAGAGACUGAAGUCUUGUGGGCGGUGAAAUCACCACAGAGGAAGACUGAAGUAGAAACGCAUCCAGUGGCGUUUGUUGGAUUAAGUGGACUUCUGCAAUCAGACUUGGAACUGUUUGACUUGUAUGUUGACUCAGCAGUUCAAAUUCAUUGCUUUAAAAACUGUAUUUGAGAUUGUUAGACCUGUUAAUAUUCCUUUAAAGAGUUUUUUUUUUAUAAAUCUUCACUGAUUUAAUAGCUUUACUUUUAUGUUGUAUGGAGACAUUAAAGUGAGAUUAUGAGUA